rnacentral:rRNA from 1 species
CUACGGGUGGCUGCAGUUUCGAAUCAUUCACAAUGAGGGAAACCUCGAUGGUGCAACGCCGCGUGGGGGAUGACGGCCUUCGGGUUGUAAACCCCUGUCACCAGGGACUAACCGCACGGUUCAUACCCGUGCCUGAAUUAACCUGGAGAGGAAGCAGUGGCUAACUCCGUGCCAGCAGCCGCGGUAAUACGGAGACUGCAAGCGUUACUCGGAUUUACUGGGCGUAAAGGGUCCGUAGGCGGCCAUGUGUGUCGGGUGUGAAAUCCUGCAGCUCAACUGCAGAACUGCGCUCGAAACUACAUGGCUAGAGUAUUGGAGAGGUGAGCGGAAUUCCAGGUGUAGCGGUGAAAUGCGUAGAUAUCUGGAGGAACACCAACGGCGAAGGCAGCUCACUGGACAAUUACUGACGCUGAGGGACGAAAGCGUGGGGAGCGAAAGGGAUUAGAUACCCCUGUAGUC